AUUACCUCGGGGCGCAGCAGUGGGGAAUAUUGCACAAUGGGGGGAACCCUGAUGCAGCGACGCCGCGUGAGCGAAGAAGUAUUUCGGUAUGUAAAGCUCUAUCAGCAGGGAAGAAAAUGACGGUACCUGACUAAGAAGCCCCGGCUAACUACGUGCCAGCAGCCGCGGUAAUACGUAGGGGACAAGCGUUAUCCGGAUUUACUGGGUGUAAAGGGAGCGCAGGCGGCGCGGUAAGUCUGAUGUGAAAGCCCGGGGCUCAACCCCGGGACUGCAUUGGAACUGCAUGGCUGGAGUACAGGAGGGGG
rnacentral:rRNA from 1 species